CAAGUCUAAGAGUCUGUGGCUACAGUAGUAUGAUUGAUGAAAAGAGUUUUCAUAAAAAUCAUAAUUGAACUUGAGUUGAUUGAAUCUAUCAUAUGACUGAUGUUGAGGUUUGAUGAUUUAUCCAUGACCUGCCAUCUAGUCGGGACUCAUGAUAGAGAGACUGAAUCACAUGUUAACUAUAUCUUGAGAUUCAUUUUUGAUUCUACUGAGUUGCCACUACAUACUGCUAGGUGUCACUG
rnacentral:lncRNA from 1 species